rnacentral:snRNA from 1 species
CGAAGAUUCAUAGGGAGAAU